AGCAACAUGGCGCAGCGGAAGCGCGCCGGGCUCAUAACCCGGAGGACGCAUGAUCGAAACAUGCUGUUGCUA
rnacentral:tRNA from 1 species